CAGGCCUUUGCAGGCCAAGGAGAAAGAAAAGAAACAAGAGCUUCAUAUUUUCCUGAUGCUGUCCUGGAAGAGAAAUAAUAAGAUAGCUUUGCUUCACAUUCUGGAACAAGUGGCUUGCUCUCCUGAGCAGGGACAGGAAUUCCUGUCCUAAAGUUGGAUGACAUCUGGCUGGAACCAUAAGAUGUGUGCUGUGACAGAAACCAGAGCAGCUGGCAAUCUGGGAACUGGAACUGUCUUCGUCGAUUUUGAAUAUUUGGUCACCUUAUCUGAGAUUACCCAUAAACUCACUUUUUUUAAGUCUCUCUGAAGGCAGCUUUUAUUGUGUAAUUUAAAAAGAAUUUUUUUAUGUUUUUUAAUGAUCUGGGUUAAUUUUAAACAAGGAUUUAU
rnacentral:lncRNA from 1 species